AAGUCCCGCAACGAGCGCAACCCUUAUCUUCAGUUGCCAUCAGGUUAUGCUGGGCACUCUGAAGAAACUGCCGGUGAUAAGCCGGAGGAAGGCGGGGAUGACGUCAAGUCCUCAUGGCCCUUAUGACCUGGGCUACACACGUGCUACAAUGGCAGUGACAAUGAGCAGCGAUAGCGCGAGCUUCAGCUAACCUCAAAAAUCUGUCUCAGUUCGGAUUGAACUCUGCAACUCGAGUUCAUGAAGUUGGAAUCGCUAGUAAUCGUAGAUCAGAAUGCUACGGUGAAUACGUUCCCGGGCCUU
rnacentral:rRNA from 1 species